rnacentral:rRNA from 1 species
GACGAACGCUGGCGGCGUGCUUAACACAUGCAAGUCGAACGGAAAGGCCCUGCUUGCAGGGUCCUCGAGUGGCGAACGGGUGAGUAACACGUGGGUGAUCUGCCCUGCACUUCGGGAUAAGCCUGAGAAACUGGGUCUAAUACCGGAUAUGACCUUCCAUGUAGUGUGGGGGGUGGAAAGAUUUAUCGGUGUGGGAUGAGCCCGCGGCCUAUCAGCUUGUUGGUGGGGUAAUGGCCUACCAAGGCGUCGACGGGUAGCCGGCCUGAGAGGGUGGACGGCCACAUUGGGACUGAGAUACGGCCCAGACUCCUACGGGAGGCAGCAGUGGGGAAUAUUGCACAAUGGGCGGAAGCCUUAUGCAGCGACGCCGCGUGGGGGAUGACGGCCUUCGGGUUGUAAACCUCUUUCGACAGGGACGAAGCUUCGGUGACGGUACCUGUAUAAGAAGCACCGGCUAACUACGUG